rnacentral:lncRNA from 1 species
ACCUUCUUAAGUACAGAUAUAUCUUUCUUUUUAUGACUGAAAAAGCAGAAAGACACAUGUCAUUCAGAAAUGAAACAUUGCAACAAAGAAAACCAAAAAUCCAAAAAAGCUGCGAUGGGCGUAUUUUUUUAUACCUAAACAAACCCUGCUUAGGGUCAAUCUUCAUGACUACCCGGUCUAGCAGCUCAUCUGGUACAUAAAAGGGGGAAAUAUUCAUCAAAGAAACAAAGUUGCAAUCAUUUCAGAUUCCCCUCUUGUCGUCAUUCAGAUGUUUCUCAGCAACCUGACGCAAGCGAGAAGCUGAAAAACCUGUUGUGAAGGACCCAUCAGUAGGUUCUUCAAUCUCAUCAUCCAUUCUUGAGGCUCUGCAUCAAAAAGAGAAGAAAUCUCGUUAUACUGCCUUAUGAAAUCUAUGCAACAACACCAUUUAGAAAAUCUUUGGAUAAAACACAACACUCCCAUUGCAUUGGUCACUACGUGAUGAAACAACAUCUACUGAGAUAAAAACCAACUUAUCUAAGCACUGGCGCACUAUUGGUCAAACAAAAAACACAAAAACCCACACUCCCUGGAUAUAAGCAACUGCAAAAGAUCAUAUAAUCCAUUAAACACUGAUGAAAAAAGCCCUAUCACAUUACCUUGCCCCAUGCAUUUAAAUCACAAGCCCAAAAUGCAAGGUUCAGUCUGUAAGCUCACCUAGUACAGAGAAUGAGGCGAUAUUCAUCAUAGAUCCGAAGCUGACUUGUUUAUGACUACCCUCUUUUCAUCAUUCAGAUGUUUCCGCGCAAACAGACACAACCAAGGUACAAACACGUGCUGAGAAAGAUCCAUUAGUAGGUUCCUCAUCAUCCAUUGUUGAGUCUCUGCAAAAACAAAAAGAACAACAACGACAACAUAUUAUAUCGCUUUGUUACGAACCUAUGCAACAACAACAGCGGAACGAAACACACUAUAUAUAAAAAUAUGGAAUGAUUUGAAAAUGAA